UUGCCCUGAGAGUGACGCGGGCGGGCGCUGAUUGGCGGAGCGUGGAGUGUGGCACUGGCUCCUGCAACUAAUUAUUACAGGGGACGGCGGCGACGUGAACCACAGAGCUGGACAGAGAGGGAUUUAAAGGGACAGCGCCCCAGCGCGCAGCAGCCCCCUGACCCAGCCGUGGGAUGGGGGGCAGAGCAGAGGGGGUAGGGCAGUAGGAAUAUUUCACAACUAAAUCACUGACGCAUGCAACCUUAUAUUCAAACAACUUUGCAGCUGAGCGCUCUGUGGAGAGAGAAGAGAAUUCCUGUGGCAUCCCCUUUGAAGUCAGUCUGAUUAAAAGAUUUUGCUCACUGAAACCAGCAUGAUCUGGAAAAGAGAGAUCCAGGAAAAGCACAAGGGUCCAAGUCAAGAGAGAAAAGAAGAGUCAGAGGCCUGUAAGGAGCCCAACAGAAUGGUGGAGAAGCCCAAGAGGCAGGUAAGAAGUGAGAUGAAACGCGGGGGCUGGGUCGGGGGGAGAAGGAGA
rnacentral:lncRNA from 1 species